GUUUCCCACUUUAAAUGUUAAACUAUGUGUCCUUCUUUCAAGGGUAUCAUUGGAGUGCAAACUGUCAUUAACAACUAACAUGGGACACGGACUAUAGACUGCUCCAAUGACUGAAAGAAAAAACAUAUCCACCCAGACCCUGUACAUACUAAGACUUACUGCACAGGAGGUAUAAGUGUGGCUUUGAUGGCUGGAGGUAAGAAGAGUCACGGUGGGAAGUAAAGUAUCAUUUCCUGAUGCCUACUAUGAG